AUGGCACUUGGGGCCACGGCUUCGCUAUGCUCACUUCUGGCCGUCCUGUCGGUCGCCAUGACGGCGACGACCGCCAGCGACGAGGCCGCGCUGCUCGCUUUCAAAGCGCAGCUCAGCAACGGCGGCUCGCUGGCCUCUUGGAAGUUGGAACAGCAGCGCCGGCUUCUGCAGCUGGAAAGGCGUGACGUGCGGCCACCGGAGGCCGGCGCGGGUGGUGGCCCUGAGACUGAACGGCACCGGGCUCGCCGGGCCGCUCUCCCCGGCCGUCGGGAACCUCACGUUCCUGCGGGCGCUCGACCUGGGCGCCAACUCGCUCCACGGGGACAUUCCGGCGAGCCUCAGCCGCCUCCGCCGCCUGCGAGAGCUCUACCAGGGAGAAAACCCCUUCUCCGGCACAUUACCGGUGAAGCUUAG
rnacentral:rRNA from 1 species